UCUGCCUGCUGCUUCCUCAUAGGUGGAGUCCUGACUGGUUCCAGGAAACAGAUCACCUGUCUGAGCGUCCAUAUCACAAGGAUGGGUGUAAAGCUAACUGCUAGGCUAGCGCUCACAGUUAGCUUCCCUUAUCAGUCUGAACGUGGCUGUCGAGCACACCAGCUCAUGUGAUUAUUUUUCGUCAAACAGAGUCGUAACCUGCAUGGUCAGAAAAUUAAAGUGAUCCAGAGAACAGACCUCGUCCUGAGAAUCACUUUAUUUCAUAAGACACAACACAGGAGACACGAUGACAUCAGAGGUGCUCUUGAACAUCCUGGAUGAUCUGGAUGAUGAUCAGCUGUCUACAUUCCAGUGGUUCCUGCAGAAACCCAACAAUGUUCAAGGCCUCCCAGCCAUCACAAAGAGCCGACUACAGACACUAGACAGGUGUAAAACUGUGGAUGUGAUGGUGGAGACUUAUGGACUUCAGAGAGCUGUGCAGGUGACCAGGGUGGUUUUAGAGAAGAUCUCCAGGAAUGAUCUGCUGCAGAGGUUUCCUGCCAGCAGCUCAGGACCAGAAGGUCAGUCACAAGACAAGAACAACAUGAUAUCAUUACAGUCAGAAAGAUGCAUGAUGGUGCUGCUACAGUUUGAUAGAGUUCAGGUUCUGUCAGUUUUUCCUGAGUCCACAUGUAAGGUCAGUUCCUCUGUAAAAUCUACUGAUCAACCUACUGACUGAAUGCUGCCCCCUGCUGUUUAAACCUUGAUAGAACACCAAAAUUAGUUCUGUAUGAGCU